rnacentral:rRNA from 1 species
AACGAACGCUGGCGGCAUGCCUAACACAUGCAAGUCGAACGAGACCUUCGGGUCUAGUGGCGCACGGGUGCGUAAAGCGUGGGAACAUGCCCUUAGGUUCGGAAUAACGCCCCGAAAGGGGUGCUAAUACCGGAUAUUAUCCUCGGACCAAAGAUUUAUCGCAUUUGGAUGGGCCCGCGUUGGAUUGGCUAGAUGGUAGGGUAAACGCCUACGAAGGCGACGAUCCAUAGCUGGUCUGAGAGGAUGAUCAGCCACACUGGGACUGAGACACGGCCCAGACUCCUACGGGAGGCAGCAGUGGGGAAUAUUGGACAAUGGGCGAAAGCCUGAUCCAGCAAUGCCGCGUGAGUGAUGAAGGCCUUAGGGUUGUAAAGCUCUUUUACCCGGGAUUAUAAUGACAUUACCGGGAGAAUAAGCUCCGGCUAACUCCGUG